AUUGAACGCUGGCGGCAGGCCUAACACAUGCAAGUCGAGCGAGCGGCGGACGGGUGAGUAAUGCCUGGGAAUUGCCCAGUCGAGGGGGCUAACAGUUGGAAACGCCUGCUCAUCCCGCAUACGAUUGGAUUGCCCAGGUGGGAGUAGCCAGUUGGUGAGGUAAUGGCUCACCAAGGCGAGGAUCCCUAGCUGGUCUGAGAGGAGGAUCAGCAACACGGGAACUGAGACACGGUCCAGACUCCUACGGGAGGCAGCAGUGGGGAAUAUUGCAAAAUGGGUGAAACCCUGAUGCAGCCAUGCCGCGUGUGUGAAGAAGGCCUUCGGGUUGUAAAGCACUUUCAGCGAGGAGGCGUUACUCGCAGAAGAAGCACCGGCUAACUCCGUGCCAGCAGCCGCGGUAAUUC
rnacentral:rRNA from 1 species